AAUUGACUAAUCAUGAAGAUGAAUGAUCUGGUAUUAUAAAAGAUUUUACUUCCAUAACUAAUUCAAAGCAUACACUAGUGAUAGAAGCAAAAUCAAAUAACACCAACAAACAAAUUAUGUUUAAUCUAAAGUCAGUCAUCAUAUUUAAAAAAACAUCCACAAAAAAAAUGAUAAUAAAAAGCAAAGUUUUGGGUCUCAGUCAUGUUCAAAAAGUUUGCAAAGUCUUUUUUUUUUUUUUUUUUUUUUGCUUGUUCUAAUAAAAUGAUCAACCUUUUCUUACUCCACCCAUUUGUUUGCUUCUAAUUCACCAGAAAUGCUUCGGGCAGCCAUUUACACCACCGAAGAACGCCAUCUGCUCCUCGUUGUCGGCGUUCGCCGGGAACGUCGUAUUAGCCCCCUCCGCCUGGUGGAAUUGGCCGCCCCCUUCUUCUUGUAGCCGCAGCAGAUUCAUUGUGACCCCAUCAUCGAACACUUCCUCGUUCUGCCUCAUCACCGCAGAGCGCGCCAUUGGACGCGGAGGUAGAGACACCGUUUCAGCGGGCUUCAUCAUGCUCUGCCCUCCUAUUUCCAUCAUUCGCCCACUGCUUGGCCCGAUGUUGCCGGACAAAGGAUACGGAUUCACAAGCGAUUGAAUUGGAUUACCUGUAGGAAAAUUUCCGGACGCCAUGGUCGAGUCGGGGAAGUAAUUCACGAAGCCAGCGGGCGCCUUGCCCUUCUGCCAAGAGUAGGAGUCGGUGCUAUCCGCGAAAUUGCGGAAGUAGGAAGUCACCGGUGAGUUGUUCGACGAAAUGUUACCGUAUUCCGGGCGGUAGAUCGAGAAGGCACUCCUGCUCAGGUUGCUGUGAUCGUUCUCCUGCGUGUGAUGUGAGAAUGAAUUUAUGUUUCCAGGCACGGGUUUUAGAUUCGGAAGUGAGGUGAGGAAGCUUGGCUCGGGGGCUGGCGGCAGCAUAUGCUCUUGUUGCUGAGUCUGGAAGAGAUUCGUCGGUGUCUUCAUCACCAGGCCGGAGAAGUACGAGGGCAAGGGAGCGAUUGCGGUGGAAUUUAUCAACCCCGCCUUCUGCAGCAAGGUUGACCCGGAUGAGGAUCCGGAGAGCACUGGAGCUUGGAAUUGCUGGCUUGUGUUGUUGUUCAUGAAAGAUAAGCUUCCGAGCAUUGGGAUGGCGGUGCUGGGGUUACUCUUCUGCCCAGUCUCAGUUAGGGAGGCCGAUGUGUUAUCCAAGAAAUCAUUUUUAGCUGUGGAAUUUGCUUGGACAGAUGCCUUUUCCCCUGUUCCAUAGAGACACAUGUUUGUCAAAGAACGAUUUGUCGACCCAAAUCCAGCCGAUUUCUCUGUCGAAUUCAUCAAGGAAAAGGAAGAACCCAGACAGAAAUCGAUGGCCGAGCCAUUCUCUACUCUCAAUCCGUCGAGCGACGAAGCUGGCGUCGGCAGCACUGAAUGGCUGGCCCCAGACAGAGGCGACGGCGCUGUACCACCAACCACGCCGCCAAAGAUCUCGUCAUACGGACCGUUCAACAGAUCGGUAAGGCGCAUAGCGAGCAAGUCAGGGUCAUCGGGCAGCAAGGACAGGAAGUUGUUCAUCUGCUCGCGGGUGUCUGGGACGUCUGGAUUGUAGUUAGCCAUGGUCGGUAGACUCACACUCGGAUGCUGCUCCGCCAUUGUUGCCUCACCCAGUGGAGCCACCUCAUCAUUAGCGACAUCGACAGGGUACUCCACCUGCUCGUUCAUAUCUGGCAGGCCAGAGUUCUCAUUAAAGGCAUAGCGUGCGUUGCUCGAUUCUCCGGCAUCCAUCAGGUUUGGCACAUUGUCACCCUCCUCCGAAGGCUCGCUGCACAACGCGAUAUGCGCCUCGUAGCUGUUCUUCCUGGAGAAUGUGUCGCUGCACUUGCACCGAUACUGGUGGAGAGAGUGGUUCUUGAUGUGGGCCUUGAGGUCCGCCUCGACUGCGUAGGUCUUGGUGCAAUGUGGGCAUUUCAGGUUCUUGGGUCCGUGCUUACGGUUGAAGUGUUUCUUGAUGCCGGUGAUGUCACUGAGUGCGCGGGAGCUGUGGCUGUAGACGCAGGACGGGAUGGGGCAGACGUAGGCCUUGCGGCGCACUGGGGUGCGGCCGGACUUCUUGAGCUCGUAGUUGAUGUUAUGAGUGCGCAUGUGGAGCUGCAGAUUCUGGUCGCGCUGGAAGCCCUUGCUGCACACUGUGCAAAUGUACCGACCGGUGGCCAACAGAUCCUCCGGCCGCAGCGCCACCACCUCUGCACUAGGAUCUGAAAAUGUUACUUUUGGGGCUUAGAAACGGCAACCUUACUUAACGAGAGGGUCAAAAGAAGACAAGAGAAAGAUGUAGGUAGAAGCACAACAAAUCAAGUUGAGUAGGCUUAAAGAGUUAUAAGGUCCGUGCUUGCGAUUGAAGUGUUUCUUGAUGCUGGUGAUGUCACUGAGUGCGUGGGAGCUGUGGCUGUAGACGCAGGACGGGAUGGGGCAGACGUAGGCCUUGCGGCGCGCUGGAGUGCGGCCGGACUUCUUGAGCUCGUAGUUGAUGUUAUGAGUGCGCAUGUGGAGCUGCAGAUUCUGGUCGCGCUGGAAGCCCUUGCCGCACACUGUGCAAAUGUACCGACCGGUGGCCAACAGAUCCUCCGGCCGCAGCGCCACCACCUCUGCACUAGGAUCUGGUAAUCCAAAAUUUUUGUUUUGCCAUCAAUUUUAGAUGAUCAUAUAGACACCACAUACGUUCACACGAAAAUGAGAAAGAUAUUAUAUGGUUCAUUACUAAAUCUAAUAUGCAGUUUGAACUUUAAAAAUCCUAAA